UCACUGGGAAGUUCAUCAGGAAGGUUACACUUAUGCUCAGUACUUUAGGGAAGGUCUGAGAUAAGAGCCAAUGACUAUCCUUACAGGGUAUCACCUGAUGCAGGUGGAUGAGUUAUUAGUAAGGCUGGGCCCUGGCUUAGGCAUAUGCAGGAGAAGCUAAGGAAACAAGGGUCUUUCUUCCUUGGAAGAUGCUCACCUCCCAAGGGUUUGGGACAGACUCAUAGCUGGCAUUGCUGAAUUCAAUGGGAUGAAGUGAGGCUAAUGCCACAUAUGGUCCUCAUAACAUAAUUCAGACUAUUCUCCCUCUGA
rnacentral:RNase_P_RNA from 2 species